CCCAGACUCCUACGGGAGGCAGCAGUGGGGAAUAUUGCACAAUGGGGGAAACCCUGAUGCAGCGACGCCGCGUGAGUGAAGAAGUAAUUCGUUAUGUAAAGCUCUAUCAGCAGGGAAGAAAAUGACGGUACCUGAGUAAGAAGCCCCGGCUAACUACGUGCCAGCAGCCGCGGUAAUACGUAGGGGGCAAGCGUUAUCCGGAUUUACUGGGUGUAAAGGGAGCGUAGACGGCAGUGCAAGUCUGGAGUGAAAGGCAGGGGCUCAACCCCCGGACUGCUCUGGAAACUGUACGGCUGGAGUGCAGGAGAGGUAAGUGGAAUUCCUAGUGUAGCGGUGAAAUGCGUAGAUAUUAGGAGGAACACCAGUGGCGAAGGCGGCUUUCUGGACUGAAACUGACGCUGAGGCACGAAAGCGUGGGGAGCGAACAGGAUUAGAUACCCCGGUA
rnacentral:rRNA from 1 species